UGUAUCCCGUGUGUCUCACGGACUUCCUGUCCCACGCCCAGCUACCAUUCCACAACAUGGCGCUUCAUAACUGAACCUGGAGCAACAAUUGUAUAAUAACGGGUUUCCAAAGCGGAUGUGCUUAUUUAACUCAGAGUGCUUUUGAUAUCCUUACGCCAAAAGAUGCCUUCUGUUGACAGCUUUAAUAUCAGCUACGAUGCACUGAACGAGGAGGGGACGUUCUCGCCCGGAGACAUAAUAACAGGGAAAGUGACACUAGUGCUGUCCAAAGAAACCAAAGUGAAAUGUCUGUAUAUCAAAGCAAAAGGAGACGCUGACGUUUGCUGGUCUGAGGAGAGAGGAGAUCAGAACCGUACAUACAGUGCACACAGGAGAUAUUUCAAAGAGAAAGAGUUUAUUAUUUCAGAGGCCGCCGAAGAAUCUGCAGUUUCUCAAGGGAGCCAUGUUUAUCCAUUUAGACUUACCAUACCACAAGGAACUAUGCCACCAUCCUUCAAAGGAUAUCAUGGAAAAAUUGUUUACAAGCUGGAAGCUGUAUUGUCCAGAAGCUGGAGGAUGGACAGCAAUGACGUAAAGGAGUUUAAAUUUGUCCCUAUUUGCUUCCCAAACUUUCAAUACAUGAUGGUGGGUAAAACUCUACACCUCACAAAAAACAUAUUAUAUAUGUUCUUUUCCAUGAAUGAACUACACACAAAUACACUGCUACAAUUGUCUACACCAACACUGUCAACUUAUCUCACCAUUAGCCAUUGGUAGCUCUAAGCAACAAUCCCAGUCAUUGAUUGUGAACAAAGGGCUUUUUUUUUUCAUUUUUAGAAAUUAUGUAGUGUCUCAUUUAACUUCAUAAUCACUUUUGAGCUGCUUAAUUUUGAGUACCACCAUAUCUGGUGGUUAGUGCAAAAAUGAUUUGAAACACUUUUAGACAGUGCAAGCUUUUUGAACCACCCAUAAGGUUUGAAUUUCCUAACAUCAUAAGCAGUGUUGGGCACAUUACUAAUAAAAGUAAUUAGUUAUACAUAUCCCAAAAGCAACUGAGUUCGUUUUAAGUUUAAAUAUCUCUAAGAAUUUGAAUUUUUAUUUCUUAACCAAAGCGGGUUUCACAAGCUCUGAUUGCAUUGUUCCGAUUUUUUUUUUAAAUUUUG